rnacentral:lncRNA from 1 species
GGGGACAAGUCCAGGGACGCAGUGGCCGGUGAUGGAGGAGUCUUCAUGGAGGGGACGGGGGUUCCUUGUGCCACCACGGUGCCAGAGGACACAGGGAUCCUCGUCACCACGGUCUAUGGAGAGGACUUGGACAUGGUGGCCAAUGCUGGAGACACCUUCGUGGAGAAGAUGAAGGAUCCUGGUGCCACCACGGUGCCCGGGGACACGGGGACCCCCGUGACGACGGUCUACACCACGGAUGGGACCACGGUGGGACAUGUCACCGUGGCCCAGGGAGGGGACAGAGAUGCGGUGGCCAAUGAUGGAGGCACUUUAAUGGAGAAGAUGGAGGAUCCUGGUGCCACCACGGUGCCCGGGGACACGGGGACCCCCGUGACGACGGUCUACACCACGGAUGGGACCACGGUGGGACAUGUCACCGUGGCCCCAGGAGGUAACAGGGACACGGUGGCCAACGAUGGAGACACCUUCAUGGAGAGGAUGCAGGGACUCGGUGCCACCACAAUCUGUGGCCGGCAGAUGGUCACAGCAGGACAUGUCACCGCAGCCCCAGCAGGGGACAAGUCCAGGGACGCGGUGGCCAACCAUGGAGGCAUCUUCAUGGAGGGGACGGAGAGACCUGGUGCCACCACGGUGCCUGGGGACACGGGGACCCCCGUCACCAGCGUCUCCACCACGGAUGGGACCACAGUGGGACAUGUCACCAUGGCCCCAGGAGGUGACAGAGAUGCGGUGGCCAACGCUGGAGACACCUUCUUGGAGAAGAUGAAGGUUCCUGGUGCCACCACGGUGCCCGGGGACACGGAGACCCCCGUGACCACGAUCUACGGAGGGGACAUGGACACGGUGGCCACCGAUGAAGGUGUCUUCAUGGAGGGGACGCAGGGACCAGGUGCCACCACGGAGCUUGGGGACAUGAGUACCUCCAUCACCACGCUCCAUGCCAUGGACAGGACCAC